AGAGUGAACGCUGGCGGCAGGCCUAACACAUGCAAGUCGAGCGGCAGCGCGGGGCAACCCUGGCGGCGAGCGGCGGACGGGUGAGGAAUACAUCGGAAUCUACCUUGUUGUGGGGGAUAACGUAGGGAAACUUACGCUAAUACCGCAUACGACCUGAGGGUGAAAGCGGGGGACCGCAAGGCCUCGCGCGACAAGAUGAGCCGAUGUCCGAUUAGCUAGUUGGUGGGUAAUGGCCUACCAAGCCUUUGACGGGUAGCUGGUCUGAGAGGACGACCAGCCAGAAGGGGACUGAGACACGGCCCCUACUCCUACGGAGGCAGCAGCGAGGAAUCUGGGCAAUGGGCGAAAGCCUGACCCAGCGACGCCGCGUGAGGGAUGAAGGCCUUCGGGUCGUAAACCUCUUUAUGGAGAAGAAGUUCUGACGUAUCCCAUGAAUAAGCCAACGGCUAACUACGUGCCAGCAGCCGC
rnacentral:rRNA from 1 species